rnacentral:lncRNA from 1 species
AUGACAACUGUUAUGAAAAUCAUUAAUUGUUGUCCUCAGAUACUGCUUCUGUCAAGAGCAAUCUGGAGCCAUCAUGCUGAGGACCAUGAAACGAGUGGCAACUUGCUUCUCCCUGCCAGGAAUCAAUUGCUCCGUGCUAGUAGCAUUUACUGUGUCUGUGCCUGUGCAUCCCCAAAACCUGAGGGCAGUUACUUUAAAAUUCAGGAAAACAUCUACCAAUAAUCGGUGGUCCCAUGGAGAGGUUUUCCACCAUAGGAAAAAUCAAGGAGAAGAGGAACUAAAUAUGGAGUGAGAGAAAACUGCUGAGCUGGCUUCUACCAUGAAAGUCAUUAACCAAGUUGGAUUAGUAAACUCUUCCAAAGCCACAUCUGCCCUAUUAAAGCUUUAAGGGCCAUAUGCCAAAGUGAAAAUUAAAUAAAGCAACAAAAAGACUGUGCCCAAAUGAAUUUGGUUUUAUUUUUACUACACAGAGUGAGGCUCUGCACUAUAAAGCAACCACAGAGAGACCUUGCCAAGUUGUGGCGGUUUCCCAGAAUGCAUUAAAAACUCAGGAGUCUCCACCAUCUCCACUAAUGAUGCUAGCUACUGGAUCACAAAAUGACUUCUAUUCUGACUGUUACGGAAAAGCCCAUCUAGUGAAAAUUUCAUCAAGCAGUGUGAAAUUUGCACAUCAAUUUCAGGAUAGUCUGUUAGACAUGGCUUAGAAUCCUGCAACAAUAAAGGUUUUAAAAUGCCUUGUUAUAAUCAAAAAGUCUUAUUCCUGUCCUAAUCAUCUCUUUUGCUUCCAAGUUUACUUAGUGGCUCAUCCCAUAAGAGAAAAAAAAUCUUGGCUCUACAUUUGAUAAAGGACAAAAGAUAUAUAGCUCCACAGAAUUAGAUCCUAUGCUCAAAUGCUGCUAUGAUUGCAAAGAACCUUCCCUGUGUUGUUCAUUGCUGGUGGAACGCAGCAUCAGAACAACUGUAGCCCUAGAAGAGUUUUAAUAUUGCCAAGUAUUGAAGCUUAAAUUAUUUUCAAAUUAUUUUCAUAGUAUAACUUUUGUGUAUCUUCACCAAUUUUGGCAGAUGAUAAAUCUGAACUGUGAAAUAUUUGUUUUGCCUCGCUUUGCUUCUUUCAUCAUUUUUUUCUUUCAAGUAUAUGCAGUAACUCAAACCAGACCCCCAAAUUUUCCUAACAAUCUGUUUCAGUGAAUAAGAAUAAUAAAAAUGAUUUCUAAUUAGUGCAAUAAAUGUUCUUGCUCUCAAGCGCCAAGAAUGGUUUGUUCACCAAAUUAUAAAGACGUUUUUAAACCAAAUUAUCCUUCCCAAUCUUUGUUCUAUAAUCAGUAGAAAAAUCAAAUUGGUAGACUAUUACAUAAAAAAAAUUUCUAAUAUAAACAUUUGGAAAAGCUGGAUGAAAUAUAACAAGUUCAUUUCUCAAUACACAGAAUAGCUUAAUAAAACAUAAGGGUAGAAUCUUAGGUGUUAAAACUCGAGAGAGUUCUGAAAACCAAUGCAGUGUGUGUAUGUGUGUGUGUGUGCGUGCGUGUGUGUGUGAAAUAAUACUGGAGGUAUUCAGGGAGACAGCAUCAGUCUUAUUAAUCUAGGGACUUGGCUUUUUAUGUUCAAAUAGGGACUAAAAAGUAGUGGCAUUGGAUUCCCCAUGGUCUCAAUGCUUGAGACCCCAGCAAAAAGUCAUAAUAUUUGAAUCACUGGCCACUCCAUGAAUUGGUGGCUUUAGAGUAUAGGGGAAAAAUUUUUAAAUUCCUAUGGAGGGACCCACUCACAACUUAAGCCACACAAAACUAGUGGAAAAGCCAACCUUGCUAAAACUUACUUUGCAACCAAAGGUAACAUAAUGCAUGGAAAAAAAUAUAUCCAAGCAAGACUCAAAAGACAUGACAAAUAAGAUUUGAUCCCAUAGAAUUUUAUGUAAUAGAACAAUAACCCAGUUUCUAGGUAAGCUGGAGUCACUUAUGGCAGACCAAUAUUUUUUACAAGAAUAAUAGGAAAAGCUGGAUAAUAACAAGAAUGAUAUGUUUGGAGAUAGUAUUAGAGGACUACAGAUCAAGGAAAUCCAAGAGGGUCUAGAUUUGGGGGACAGUAGAACCAUAGAAAAAUGAGCUGACUUUUUACAGUUGUCUUUUCUCUAGCCUAGUUGCUGAUUUGGGGAACCAGAUGAAAAGCGAACCAUUCAGAUUUUUCCCGGGCAGAAAAAUUCUUCUAGGAAUGGAAAAAACAUCAGAUUUUAGUGGUCUAAAAAGAUAGAUAAAAUUGGAGACUUGGUGGUUUUCUCCUAUUGACAUUUACCAAAUUAUGAAGCAACACAAGGAAGGAAAAUGAAGGUGUGCCAAAGAGGGAGCUCAGAAAAGCAGAGCAGAAUUGUCUGGGAAACCCAUGUUUCCAGGUAGAAAGUAAGCUAAGGUUCAAAAAGUUCCAAGGAGAGGAGUCCCAGGACCUAAAAUAGGCUCCCAGAUGAAUGCUCUGGAGGGCUAUGACCUAGAGAGAUGAAUGAGGGGUAGACUCCACAAAAACUGUAACCCAGUUUUGAAUCAACUUAACUUCUGAUUGAAUUAAUGUGCUCAGCCCCACUCUAUCAGACUUGUGAAGGAAGAAAUAAGUCCCGAUGGAGGAAUACAAUAAGCUCUGGAUCUCUGUAAUUUAACUUACGUGGUAUCAGGCAUUCAGUCAAAAGUAACUAGACUUUCCCAGCUUUUAGCUACUGUCCACAUUCCUUGGUUUGUGGCCUCACUGCCUUCAAGACCAGCAACCACACGUCUCUAACAUUGCUUCUAUUUUCACAUCUCCUUCUCUUACUCUUAUACCUUCCUCAUCCAUCUUUGAAGGACCUUUGUGAUUUUAUUGGGCCUACUCAAUUAAUCCACAGCAAUCUCAUAAAUAUAUGAGAUUAUAUAUAUCUCAUAAAUAUAUGAGAUAUAUAUCUACACACUC